rnacentral:rRNA from 1 species
UACGGAGGGUGCGAGCGUUGUCCGGAAUCAUUGGGCGUAAAGGGCGCGUAGGUGGCUUCUUAAGCGUGCGGUGAAAGCCUGGGGCUCAACCCCGGGUCGGCCGUGCGAACUGGGGGGCUGGAGCACUGUAGAGGCGGGUGGAAUUCCGGGUGUAGCGGUGGAAUGCGUAGAGAUCCGGAAGAACACCAGUGGCGAAGGCGGCCCGCUGGGCAGUGGCUGACGCUGAGGCGCGACAGCGUGGGGAGCAAACAGG